UCACUGUGGUUACAGUGACUAGUGUACUCAACAUGACAAUGGGUUCUUUAAAAAAUCACUUUUGGGCUGUAUUGGCUAGUGAUGUGUACCUGAAAUUUAGACGAAAAAAUUAUGGCAAAUUGAAUUCUGCAGGGUGUUUUCAGGUUGAUGAUGGAAAACCAUCUGAAAAUGCUUGACUUUGCCCAGGUGCUCAAACUGCCAGUUGUCUAGUGAGAGAUGUUGCAAUGUUUUUAUAAA
rnacentral:lncRNA from 1 species